rnacentral:rRNA from 1 species
GUGCCAGAAGCAUCGGUAAUACGGAGGAUGCAAGCGUUAUCCGGAAUUAUUGGGCGUAAAGCGUCCGCAGGCGGCUAGAUAAGUCUGCUUUCAAAGAGUGGGGCUCAACCCCAUAGGGGGAGUGGAAACUGUUUAGCUAGAGUAUGGUAGGGGCAGAGGGAAUUCCCAGUGUAGCGGUGAAAUGCGUAGAUAUUGGGAAGAACACCAGUGGCGAAGGCGCUCUGCUGGACCGAGACUGACGCUGAGGGACGAAAGCUAGGGGAGCGAAAGGGAUUAGAUACCCCUGUAGUCCUAGCUGUAAACGAUGGACACUAGGUGUUGCGCGUAUCGACCCGUGCAGUGCCGUAGCUAACUCGUUAAGUGUCCCGCCUGGGGAGUACGCACGCAAGUGUGAAACUCAAAUGAAUUGACGG